UGUUUAGCCCUGGGGCAAUGUGCAGCGUGGCAGAAAACAAGGAGCAGAACCAUGCAUGAAAUUGUCCUGGAGGAGAGGGAUGGCAGAGAGGGCAUUGCAUUAUGGUGCCACCUGCCACCGCUUCAGGGUGACAGAGAUGGCAAAAGGACAUGUGCUGCUGCCCAAAUAGCAGCCAACCUGCCCACGGGCUGAGCCAGCGUGGCUGGGUGGGAGCCAAAGGGCUCCUGCCGUGGCCCCACAAGCUUUGACAGCACCUGUGCUGUGUUUCUCACCAGCAGCCAACAAAACCAAGCUGGCUGGGAAGAAAACCAGUUUCUGAUUUCCAAAGCAAGCACCUUUGAUCUGGCAAAGUCAAAGGGAAGCUGCCAGCUUCCCAGGAUGUCAUUUGCAUGGAGAAGCUGUGACGGCACCCGUCAAGCUGGGUAAAGGAAUGAGCCUCUUGCAGGAAUCAACCUCCGUCAGUCCUCAGGUUAGAUACCAGAGAGGAGGACCUGAUAAAGCAGGAGAUAAUGACAGCACAGCCCAAACAUAGCAUUGGAGAUGCUGAAGGGCUGACGUGUUUCUGCAGGAGUAUCUGUCACACAGGAGAACCUUUCUGGUGCCACAAGGUGACCCACUUUACCAGUGUCUGCUGAAAUGGGAAGAGAGGAAACACAGAGGCAAAAUGUCCCAAAGGCUCAGGUUUUUGGAAAUGAACCCUAAGACCUUUCCCAGAAUAUCCAUGCUAUGAAACACACACAGAUCAAUGAAAAACUCACAAGUGAAAGACACUGUGGCUUAAAACAGCCUUGUGAACUCUGGGCACUGCUGGCAGUGGGGUGGGAAAACCAGUCCCAGUUAUGUGCCGUGUAAAUGGCUGCAAUGUGGGGUUUUCUUAAAGUCAUGUCUGUUUUGCCAUCCAGUCAAUUUGCCAGUGAGGGGCUGAGGAAUCGUUGGCGUUGUUCUGCCACAAGGCUGGGGGUGGAAAGCCAUUUAAAUCAAACAAGCAUCAAAGAGCAGAGAGCACCAAGCACGCUGUGCAAGUCUGGACACCGUCUGUCCCAGCCCUGCGGUCCAGCCUGUCCCCGUCCACCAGGACCCAGGCAGACCUCAGGUUUCCAGGCUGAAUGUACAAGGGUAACACUGACCUAAUUAGUCUCUGAAACAAAUGGGAGAGAAAGACUUGGUGCCGUAUGUUACAGCAAGAAACCCUCUCCCUCUCCUUUCGCUCUCCUGGCCCCAGGGAUUCAUCCCAGGCAGGUGCUUCUUUGAUUGCAGCAGGUUUUGAAUCCUCUUCCUUCUCCUCGCGGGGAUGCCACAUGCUGUCUUCUGACCUUGUUAGCUUCUCCUCCUGUUCCACUUUCCCGCUCUGCACUCCAAGCCCCACCGAUGUGCUAAUUACUACAAAGCAAUCUGCAGGAACACGCUCCUCUGAGCGGGGUGAGGGGAGAGGAAUGGAGAGAUGCUGUCAGAGCGUCAUGGGGGAUGGAGCAAAUUGGGUGAGCGGGGAGCUUGGCUGAAGCAAUGCUGAUGUUUGAGCUUGCUCCAGGCUCCUUGGUGCUCCUCGGGUUUAAUGCUCGUGUCGUGUUUUGACUGCAGAAGCUCUUAGGUUAAUCCAGCCUCCCCUGCAGUUCCUCUCUGAAUUCACCUGAUGGUGCAUUUUGAUGCAGAGGCUCGUCAGACCUGGGGACCUGUGUUUGCCCUUCAGAAGUGAACCACCUUUUAGUGGCAUUUGAAGAAAGUGCCCUUUCUGCUGUUACUGAAGUAUCCUUGUCCUUCAAAACUUUCCAUUGUUCUCUCUAUUUUUUUCCUUUUACUUUGAUUACUUAACAAUGGGUCCCCCCACCAGCCUCUACCCUUCUUAGACUUUUCUUCGCAACGCAUGUGAUGUGAAAAGCAAAGGUUGCUCUUUCUGCUUGCAUGUACUCACAUCCACUUCCAACCUUACUUAUUUCAGAUCAUGUUCCCUUUUUGUUCCUUUUAUAUUUUCCUCUCUAACUUCUGAAUUGUGGGUCCCAUCCAGCGGUGAGGACAUCGACUCUCUUCAUUGUGGUAUUUUAUGCCCAUUCUUAGCAAUGCCACUAUACAAAGGCAACCAAGAAAAUACUACAGGUUGUACUACUGGGGUAGUGUGGGAGGCUGAAUUGCGCAUCACAUCUCUCCGGUGACAGACAAGUCAUUGUCAAGAAAGGCCUAUUUGCAUCAUUAAAAACAUUCUCAUGUGCUUCCAGGGUGGUGAAUGUUUUUCCAAACUUUAACACAGGGAAUGUCUGCAGCAGAUAGCUUUUUCUAGGCUCUGAUGUUGAAAGGCUCUUAGAUUGGUUUCUCAUUAUUAGACAGCAUUGUUUUAUAUCCACUGAUGCUUGCCCAGUCAUCAUUUUGCUUUUUAAAGCACAACAAAGAUGAGAAUGAUGGAGUUCCAUUGUCAGGGAGCAAUGUAGUUUUCCUUGUGUAUGUUGCACUUCAAACUCUUGGUCUUCCCAUUUCUUUUCACAUAGGGAACUUCUCAUGUCCUUAUCUCAAUGAGUGGUGGAAAUGACACUCCCUCCUCAGGAAUGCAGACUGGCUUGGUGGUGGUUCAACCAACACCAAGAUACAAAUCAGACACGAACCCACGUGUAGUGUGGAGUUUUAUGAAUUAGCUGAAAAAUAAAGAUGUCAUGAAAUGUAACAGAACUGACAAUGAGAUGUAUUUAAAGGAAUACAUCAAAACCUGUUAUAAUUUAUUUUAGUCCAGGGGCACAAUAUAGUUGAGGGAAAACCAUGUGCUGCCUUAGGGAUCUUUUUUCUCCUUUGCAAUGUCUUGUAGAGAGAAGAGGCCACCCUUGCCCUCUUUGUGAUUGGUGUUUAUUUCCAAGGGAUACUGAAGGAUACAUUGAUUUGUUUGAGCAAAUAUUUUACUUCUGACACAUUCCUGAACCAGAAGAGAAAAUAUCACCUCUAAGGAGCCCAAGAUUGUUUAUGAAUGCCGGUUCCGUUCCAGGUAUGGAGAGGACUCUGGGGCUGCUCCAGCAAGGGGAGUUGCUUGUCCAUCCAUCCUCUGCAGCGCCACAGAAACAUCGAGGUGCCUUGUGGUUGCUCCAUUCUGCCCCUGCUUGGCACCAGGUUUAUCCAAGAAAACGCUGUUCUAUUUCCAUAUCACUUCUGUGACUGGCAGAGACAGUCUCUGCUGCACAGCACUUGUAGAAACUUCUGAUGAAGCAGCAAUAAGCAGCUGGCAAAACUCAUCCCAUCCCUUACUGAUCGUCCUAGGUGCCAAAGGAUGCUUUGUUAACAGGCAAAAUCUUUCUCUUAGGCUCAGAAGCAAUGGAAGAAAUGGCAGCAGCGUGUAUCCCAAGAGGAGGUUGUGCUGAAUAGCUUGUCAUGCUCAAUGACUCAUUAAACACUUCCAGCUCUUCCAGAGGAUCUUGGUCCUCCCUCACUUAUUCCCAGUCUCCCUGGUCUGACUUCUCUGGCCUUGAGUGCCAUUCCUCCUCCUCUAUACACAUGUGAUUUAAAGACACCAUCUUUGCCAUGGCUCCGUGGCCCUUCACGGCCAGACAUGGUUGCUCCCCAGCUUUGAGCUCCAAGAUGCCUGCAUCACCUUUGAAGCUGCAAGGCAAGCAUCAGUCUCCCAGGUGGUUUUGGAAAUGUUUCUCCCAAAGUUUGUGCAGAUCACAACAUGCACUGUCCUGUGGAAGCCCUGAAUUCCACCCAUCAGCUGAGCAGAAAUAGCUUUGGGGUGCAGACAUCAGGAGGAGGAGGAAGUGUCUCGAUAGGGAAAAGAAUCUCAGGGUAUUGGGGAAAAGCAGCAGAGAAACUAAUGGGAUUCAAGCCUGCCAUCUGUAGUGUGCAGCCCCCUCUCUCAUCCUCAUGGCUCUCAUUUGCAGGCCAUAGGUUUUCUAUAGAACCUGCUACAGGCUGCAUGUAUUCAUUGGGUUGCGUGGGGACAUCUAACUGUGGUGAUGCUGCAGUUACUGCGGGUUAGGAGCAGUGCUCAGAAACAUCCUGUGGUCUAUCAGCAAGAACCUGUCAGAGGAGGAAAUGAAGCCAGAGCAGCCAGUGACACCUCUGAUAAAAAUCUUCAGAAUGAAAUAAUGCAUCGGGCUGGCAGGAAUAAUCCACACCUUCUCUCCCAGGUGCGUGAGGCUCAGCACGAACUCAUAGCCUUUCCUCCCUCUGAAACGCACGGGACGUCGCUGUGGUCCUCAUGUCUGUCCUGAGCUCCGUGCAUGGCAGCCCGUUGGGCUGAGCUCCAUCAUCGCUGGGUCCGUGUGUCGAUCUGUGUGUCUGUCAGUGUGUCUGUCCUCCCUGAGAGGCAGCUCCAGGUUCAAAUGCUGCAGCUGGGAGGUUAAUCAGCGACUGCGGAGGGAGUGCUGAGGAGAAAACACAUGUCCCUUUCAAUUAUGUUUGCUCAAAUCCACUGCAAUGAGCAGAGGGCCAUAACACUCAAUUAUUCCCAGCAAUCAAAUUAAAUUUAUGCUCGUCAUUAAAGAGUCACUGUUUGCCCACAGCUGCCUUGUUGGGAGCUCUGAUCACCGCUGUGUUAUCAUUGGGGGGUGGUGAAUGAAUUCUUGUGCAUGCUUUAUCUUCAGUCAAUCUUUGGGGACUUCAUUUGCUUGCUUUUUAAAGCCAUUCUCAUCAUAGGAUUUGGAAAAUACCCCCCAGUCUGAUGUAUUGUAGAAAUGACUUGGUGCAUAAUGCGAUUUGUAGUCUAGAGGAGAAAAAUCAAAGCAUUCCAGCCUGUUUCCUCCUUUUAAAGCCCAAAUCAGCAACUUCAGCUGGGCAGGAAGGUCUGAGCAGGCUUUGUGGGUUUGUCUUGAUUUUGCCAAGUUCAUGUUCAUAGUUAUUACAACCAUGAUGUCCCAAGGAGAUGACUUUGAGAGGUAGUGUUGUAUCUUUGCCUUUUGCCUUGUUUUUUCCUUUAGUUACAUUGGAAGCUUUUGCCUAACAUUGAACAGAUGAGAUGGAGAAAUUAAGGUCCAAAAUGUAUGCAAUCCUUGUCUGUCUCUGGAAGAGGAGAACAUCCAAUGUGUUGAACUCCUGUAUUUCCUCGGUGGCACAGAAAGUUUUUAAUGGUUCUUUUACAUGAGAUCAUAAGCUUUCUGCAGCUCACGCUGUGGGGAUGUGUUUUCAGCAGAGGGAAAGCCAAUAUUGACAGUGCAACUGCCCAACUUUGGGGAGGGUAGCAUGUCUGGGUGAUAAAUGGAGUGGAACAGGAUUUAUGCAUUUAUGCAUUAAUGUUAUUGCUAUUGUUUGGCUGGAAAAGAUUAUCUUCUCUGCGUCUGGACUAGUUUAAUGCUGGCCUGAUCCUGUUAACCAGCUACCACAGAUGUUUAGACAAACACACCCAUAAUCUCCAAAUGAAAAAUGAAGGAAACUCAAAUAGGUUUUCAAAGGACACUUGAGCAAAACUGAGGACAAGCACAGGAAAGCAGGAUGGGAUCUUCCGUUUGGGUUUCUUUUCAGUGUACUUUGUUUUCUCCCCGUAAAAAGUGGUUGUGUUCACAUAGAAAAUUCCACCACGACUUUUUAAUAUACAUUAGGUCACCUGGCAUGCAGAGGAAAGAAUCUUUAGCUGUUGACCUCUCUGUGGGGCUGGAAGGAGAGCUGUUCUCCGUCAAACUCUUUCUCUGCUCUCAGCAGAGCAGGAUUUCCAUGCAGUACAUCACCUGUCAUGCCCUUGUGUCCCAUCCCAUUGGGAUGGGAUUUUGUGGAAGCCAUGGGGAAAACCAUUGCAGGAGCUGAGCUACCCAGGUCCUAGAAUCAAAGUGGAGCAGCACUGAUGACAAAGACCUAUGGAGGUAUCCAGUCCAAACGACCACUUGGAGCAGGACAAUCCUAACACUAAAUCAUGUUUGCUAUGGCUUUGCCAAGCCAAACCUAAAAACCCUCCAAGAAUGGAGAACUCUUGCUUCUCCCAUGGGUUAACCCAGGGCUGUACCAUCCUCCUGGGGAGGAAAGUUUUCCUAAUGACCAUCCUGAACCUCCUAAGCCUGAAUCUGUGGCUCCUGCCCCAGUUACUUCACCUAAUGCUAUUGAGUUCAGCUCCAAUGUCUUUGUAAUUCCAUUUCAGGUAAUUGUAGGUUGAAUGUUUUCAAGCUGGUAGUUGUGAAUCCAGAUUUUGCCACAGUCAGAGGAGAUGCACAGAUCGCUUUCUGUUCCCUUAUUGAGUCAACAGAAAACACUCAGCAGUUUUUUUUCACCUAAUGUGUUUUCUCAUGAAAAUACAUAUUCAUAGUAGUUUUAUAGAUGAGCCCAUGUGGGUAAAUAUGUUUGCAUAAAUAUUCAAAUGAGAAUAUUUGCACAAGUAAUUAGGACGUGUUUGCUUUUCACAAGUGUUUGUUUGGAAAGGAAGGGGUUUUCUACCAAAUACUCAUAAAUAAAGGAGGUCACGAAUGCAAACAAAACCAUUCAUGGGGAUUAGUCUACAAGAAGAUUUCCCCGUGUGUCUGUGAUAUUUCCACUCACCUCUGGCUGCUAUGUUGCCAGUCACCUGCAGAACCUGAUGAGCUCUGACAAGGCCUUUUCAAGUAUGCAGGAUCAUCUGGAGCACUGAUGGAGGCAUUACUGCAGGUUUCCUAAAGCACUGAGCCUCAGCCAGUAAUUAACAAUAAUAAGAAAUAAGAAUAUAAUCCUUGCCUGGCAUGAGACCCUGAGUCUGGGCUGACACCUGUUCUUUAUCCUCAAGAUGCCAUUCCCAGUUAAUGCUGCCUGAGCCCAUUAAAUUGAAUCCAAAGGACAGGGCGCUAUUAUGUUUCUCAUAAACCCAAGAGAUUUAUUGCAAAGACACUGCUUAAGUCUUCUCUUCCACUUAAGAGCAUGCCAUUGAUUCCAGAGCUUCCUGAUGUGCUGCUGCCACUUCAUGGAGGACCAUGGCUCAGCCUCCACGAUGUAACACGAUGCUGAUGGAGAUGGGUGCUCAAGGUGGUGGGCCUGGUCCCAGGGUGGUGAUGGCACAUCAUGCUCUCAUCCACGCUUCAUGGGUCGGGGAGAGCCACAGCCCCCAUCUCACUGUGCCACCUCCACAUGGCACCACUUUCCUGAGUCACCUGGAGCAGCUCAUCGUGGUAGAAAUCACAGACGAUAACUCCAAUGGCAACCUUGGCCAGCAUGACACGCCUGGUGGCCAGGGGCAUGGAGGCAGCCUGGCGUGACCUGUGCCUGCUGUCACCCCUGCUGUCCCUUCCCAAGGAGCUCGGCUGGUGUACCUAGAGCUCCGCAUAAGAGGCAAAGUCCUCAUGCUGUUCCUGCAGCCCAAGGUUAUGGAUUAAUGGGAGUUACUGAAGUUUGCACGACCUGGUGCCUUUUUCCGUAGCAAACCUCAUUUGCUCAACAUGAAGUUAUAGCUUUUGGGCCAUUACUGGUUUAAGGAAUUUCCAAUAUCCUCUGCUGGUGUCAGCAGCAGCUUGGAGCUCAUCCGACAGCAGCUCCAGGAGAAUGAUCUGAGCUGAGGCAGGGUGAACUGGAGAUCUGUGCCCUACUUAGCUGGCGUAUAUAUUUGUCAGUAAGUGGGACACUCAAUAACCUGAGAGCUGACAGCCUUCAGAUCCUGUAUGGAGAGAUGUCAGUCAUUCUGGCUUACAUUAAACACCUUCCCAGGCAUCUGGGCCGUAUUAUAAUAUCCCAGCAGUGCCAAAUUACAAACGUGAACCACACAUGAUAAUCUCUUGUUCCUGUCUUAUUUCCCUUUUGGACAGUCCUUGAAGGAAGGAAAAAAAUGUCUUUUGUGAGCAUAAGAAAAUUAUAAGCCAUGCACGGGGAAGGGUGGAGGAGCAUGCAUCACCCCAUGUCUCUCCCGAGCCAAAUAUGGAUUUUCACAAUUGAUUUGAGAGCAUGUUUAUGGCCAUUUUCACUCUGUGCCCCAGUAAUAAUCAUAAUGGAGACAUCCAGUAACUGGUAAAUGGAAUUACAGCAAAGAAAAUCCUUUGACGUUUCGUGUGCUGCUCAGUUUGCGCUACGACAUGGUCCCACCUCCCCAGCUGAGGUGGGACUGAGCUGGACCCACUGGCUGAGGGGUGGCGAUGGCAGAGUGGGACCCAUCACCAGCUCGUCCUGCUCUGGGGCAGCGUGUGGGAGCCACAUGGAAACCACGGGGCAGCUCAGACCAACUCAGAGCUCAAUUUUACAUCUUAGUUGAGCAAAGAAUACAACUGCAGCAACAGGAGGCUUCUCGCACAUCUUAAGGACAUAGAGAUGGAAGAGCUUGGCAGCACUCCCCAAGACGUGCUCAGCAUCCCCAGGGGCUGGGACAAACCCUGCUCAUUUGGGGGAAACUUCUCCAAGAAGCUGCUUCUGUCACAUGGAGCACCAGAAAUUGCACAGUGUGAACUGAACCACAGAGUCUCAGUCCAGGUGGGGUCCCACAGGAGGAGCUGGACAGGUCCUUUUCAAACAGAAGUUUAGAAAAUCAGCAUACGUUUGAGCCCUGGUACAUGUCCCUGGUACAUCUGCGAUGACCUUCGGGUGACCUUGCUUCCCAGUGCGAGGGUAGCAGCAGAAGUGGUUUCAGUCCACUGCAACUGGAAUGGACUGGGCACUUUGCCAAGUGAAUAUCUGCUGGGUUAAUCACUGUGCAAAUCUAAUCAGGAAUUGGAAUGUGCCAGGCUCAUUACCGAAAUUAAAUUCACCUCCAAUUAAAGAGCGAGCUACAAGCUUCCAUCAUGUAGAGGUGCCCCCAGGCUGCCCCUCCCAAAACCAACCUCAAACCCCGUCCUGCUGAACUGCAGGUUUGCUGAACACUGGAGGGAUUUCCAGGUGCAAGGAAGUGAAUUGCUGCUUGUGCUUUCCCCCGAGGCUGCGUAAGGAGUUUGCUGAUGCCCUUAAUAAGUCACCUUGCAGGUCAGAAGUAACUUCAAUGGCAGGAUUUCCAAGGAGCACUUGCCAAGAGAAAUCUGAGGACACAGUAAGUGGAACAUCUCCCAUGGCAGGAUCAUUCCUGGGAUCUGUGGGCACCUUCACAAAUUCUCGCCUUCACACGCUGAAUCUUUCCUUGGGACCUACGUGCCUUAUGUUUACACUUCAGAGUGAAAUAAAAAACUGCUUUGUGAUGAGAACAGCAAAGCUGCAAAGUCAAGCAGGUAAAAAUGUAGAGAUGCUGACUUAAAAGUUGUUCAAGCUUCAUUUGCCCCUUUUUCUUUCUACAGUUAGACUUGUACAGCCUAAUCGCACCAUCACCACUCUCAACAUCAGCUCUUCCUCCAUCUGUGCCUCAUCUGGGCAUUAUCAGAUUUCAGGGAAGAACAUUUUAUAUCUUGGGUUAAAAUAUAUUUCUGUAACCAUGUCCUCCAGAGACAGCUGUUGUAGCUCCAAACCCCCGUCCUAAAGUAAGCAGGAAAGACAUUAAAUUGACAUCUCCUACAGAUUGAGGUGAGGCGAUUGAGUAGAGAAUCACUUCUCUGUCCAUUUUAUAAGCAGCAGUUAUAAAUUCAAGGUAGUGAGAGCCUGGCCCAGGUUGACCACAGAGGUGGUAGAUGAACCAUCCCUGGAGACAUCCCAAGCCAGGCUGGACGGGGCUCUGAGCACCCUGAGCUGGUGAAGAUGUCACUGCUCAUGGCAGGGGUGGCACUGGUUGUCUUUUGAAGGUCCCUUCCAGCCCAAACUACUCUGUGAAUCUAUGAUUCUGUUCUGCUCCCAUUGCCACUUGCACUGACAACCUGACACGAAAUUUCUGCAAACUCUGGAACUGCUCAGGAGCUGUAAGUACAAAGAGGAGCAAAGAAGAGCAACGAUGGCUCAGGUGAACUCCUGCCACAUGUUAGCAAAUAAUCACUCAAAGAGCAAAGCUGCCCUGCUUGCCAGCCCGGCUCCAGGGCUGCGAGGGGGAUCUGGAGUGCAGGUAUGAGGUAAAGCCCAAAGAGCCUUCUAGUGGGCUGCGAGGGAUGCAAAGACCUUGUUAUGGAGCAGAGAGCUCAGCGCUGCCCCAAGGGUUAAUUAGCAGCAUCCUUUGCCUUUGGAGGUGUUCAUCUAAGUGUUCCUCCUGGAGGGACAGCUGUCUUUGUUGCCUAGAUACAGCCUUGCCGGGGCUUUGAGGAAGGUACCUGGAGCAUCAUUAGAAGAGGAUGUUAGUGGGAUUUUCAGAUUUAGCUGCACUAUGUAAAUUAUUACCCGGGGCAGCCCUGAGGCAAAGCGGCUGCCAGUUACUAUCAGCCACACAUCACAUCCAAGUGCUGACAAGACAAAUAAGGGUAAUUGUCUCUCCUCCCUUAAUCAGGUGGACGUGAUUAGCUGGUGGAGGCCUUAGCCAGGUGUUCACCAGAAUCACCCAGUUCAGCAAAGCAAGUAUCCCUGCAAACACAGGCUGGGGAGCAAGGACCAGCCAGGUCAAACACGCUUCAGCUUUUGGAAGAGACCAGCAAUCAAGAAGCCGUCUUUCAUGGUUUGGAGGAAGGUUGUGGGGAGUAUAAUGGUUAGAAAAUGAAGAAGACCUGAGGAAAUGGUGGGUUUUUCCAUGUUACGUGGGCUGUACCUGUGCUGGGAGGCUGCAUGGCCAGCUCGCAGAGCAGGGAUGUUCGGCGCUGAACUGAGGGCAGUGAAAGUCAAGAUGUUGAAUUUUUGAGUCAGAUGGUAAUUAGAUGGCUGGAAUAAUUUCCUCAGCUAUUUGUGAGGUAUCAGAGAAAAAGAGAUCGGGGCUUGGCCAGCACUGGGCACAGAGGGCAGGGGGCUCUGUCACCUCCGGGGGUGACAGCCGUGAUGGGCAGAGCUGCCUGUUCCCCCAUGAUGAGCUGCACCGCUGUGUUCACUGCACACUGUGUCCAUUCAAGCAGCAAAAUCAGAUACUGGAGGAGGUGAGGCUAUUUUGACACGUGUCUUGUUUUCAGGGCAAAAAACCCCAAAACUUCAGAUAAGUGUCCUUUAAUUUUUAGAGCCUGGCACAGCGACAUAAAAUACCUUUCAGCAUCUGCUGGAAAUGGUUGUGAUUAACUCCCUGUGGUGAGCAGGAGACUUAGAGUUCUGACCUUUUACUGAACAAAGCCAAGUCCCAGCAACUGCACCAGGAGAUAUAAGAUGCAUCACUGGCAGCACUGCCCAUCUUGCCCAGCCCUUGUCCUCUUGCUUUCCCCUCCGCCAGCAGCAGGCAGCGGUACCCUGAUGUCUUGAUGAGUAAGUGUUAACUGAGAUGAGCCUCUUUCCCCCCUCGCUGAGCGCUCUGUGUCAGCCCCUGGCGCUGAUGAUCGGUGGCGCAGUCCCAGGUGGAGCAUCAGGACGCAGCUGUCACCUCGAUGCUGAAAAACGAUAUGGCGGUGCCAGGCAGGUUUCUGCAGGGACCGGUGCGCAGCAGUGGUUUAGGAAAUUGCUUCCCUCUUGUGGUGGCUGUGUUGCUUGGUAAGGUCACACGUGCUUCAAAUGCAUUUGGGUUUUGCAUGGUUGGCCUUCCACGUAGCGUCAGAGGAGAACAACUGUGACCUUGGGCAGGUGGAAGUCCCAGGAGCUGCUGCUGAUGAACAGCACAAGCUUUUCAGUGAUAUCCCUGCUCUGCUGACACCAGUGAUGGCACCGAUGAGCUCUGGGAGGCGAUGGGCAGGAGGACUAAACCCAGCUGGGACAAGCAGUUUCAUUCAAUGGAUGGCAUUGUGCUCACAUGGCGACAGGUCCCCCUGUCCCACCUGGCUGUGCGUCAUUCAGAACAGCUUCAGUGCCACAAAGUGAUGCAGACACGUACCCCUCCAUCAUCUCUUUUCACCCAGAUGAAUGAACCCUGAAUCAGAUGCUAAUAACUGCUUGACAUUCUUGGAGAUCUCUGCAUGCUGCAGGGCAAAGCCUCACAGAGCAAAAGUGCUGGCAAGACUGAAUGCCUUUGGUUGAAGAGGCAGCAAAGAGAACAGCCCCUGGCAAGGACAGAGGAGCCUUUUCAAUCCCAGCUGCAUUCUUGGAGCAGCCUCAGAGAGUGAGCUGGAGCGGCUCCUCCAAGGCAACCGAGCUCACGCCAGAGCACAUCCCAGCAUCUGCACACCGGAGACAUUUCCAGCUCUGACCUCUGAACAGGUUUUCCAGGAAGAUUUCAUCCCCUGGGACGACAACAGCAGCGCUGGUCCCACUAUCAGAGCCCUGCAGCUGGACGCUCUGGGGUGCUACGUCAGCUCUAAGAGUGCCAAAUUAGCAUUUUCAGAUGUGCAAAAUAAUGCCAGUGACAGAAGAGUUGCGUUCAAGGAAAAAAACCCGCAAGAGCAACAGGAGACAAGCCAGAGCGUGCAGAAACUCCCUGUUUCAGUUCAGCUGUCAGUGCGCAACAAGAACUUCCACUUUCCAAGAAGCUGGAAAAUGUCCCUGUAUUGCCUCUCUACAAAGGCAUUAAAAUGAUGUUUCACCUCCCGAAGACCUCGUUGUCCCUGUCCCAAGAAUGUGCGAAACCAAGUACAAGAGGAAUAACAGGAAAGAAAACACUUUGCUGUAUUGGCUGCACAGCAUGUUCCUGGCCAGCCCUGUAGACUGCCGAUAAAAUAUGAAUUAAAUGCAUUUAUUGCAAUUCAUGAAGCCGAGCAGAGGAGUUGUCAAAGAGGUCCGUCCGCUGCAAUGUUCCCCUGCCCCUGCUAGUGACAGCAGGCUCCCCAGAAACAAACUCUGCUGCAAAGCACACCCGGGGUGUGCGGGUGAGAAGAGGAGGCAUCAGUACAUCAGUACAUGGGCUAUCGGUGCAUUAUCUGCAACAGAGACCCUGGCAGAGCCAUUGCAGCUUGGCCAGACCUAAGGGUUCUGCUCCAGGGUGGCAAACAACCAUUGCACACCCACCAGCUCUACCUGUUUGUAAAGCAGAGAACAUGCAGGUGCUGUGGACAAGGAAAAAACAUGUUCCCUGGGGCAGGGGACAUCCAAAUAACCAACAGGCAAAGGACAAGGAGUGCCCAGAGUCAGGGCUAAAGAGUGGCUGUUGUUGACUCUGGAUCUUACCCAUUUUUUCUGCUCUUACACAAUGCUCCCGCCAUGCAUAUUAGAUGGGGAUCAGGAAGACCACAGCAGCAGGAAGUGAAAUCCUGCAUAGCUCCUGGUCAGGACACAGAAGAUGCCAAGAAGGAGCUGGGAGCAGGAUGGGACAAAGGUGGCUGCAAAGGUGCCAAGCACGUAAAGCACCCCUGGGACCAGGCUGCUGCGUGCAGGGCGUGGGGUGCAGUGCAUGGGGUGCAGCGCUCCUUGCAAACAGGGUGUGCAGGACUGUACUGCAGCGCGGCAGCACGAGGGGGCACAGCGAGGGCUGCGUGUGCUGACAGCACCAGGAGUGCCCGUCCACACACGCUUCGCAUCCGACCUUGCUGUAGAAGCCAGACAGCGUGUUUCAUUAUAAUUAUCUUUCCACCUUAUCUCUCCAAUGUCCCGACGAAAUGUGCUCUUGCUUUAACAGCUCCGUUGACAGAGUCCCUCACAGUCCCCUGGAACCCAGCGAGUCAUCAUCAAAUAUCAGGUGGAGCAACACACUCCAAAGUGGCCAUCACACUGCACCCUAAGGAGCCAGCAAAGAGACGUGCAGCGCAACCAGCAGGAUCAGCAGCUGUGUUUGCAGUGUGGGACAUCACACAGCCCAGCAUCGGAAAAAUCACGCUUCUUCCUGAAUGCUUUAUACGCUAUUGUUAGCAGCAGUAAUCCUGCGGUACAAGAGCUGUAAGGGAUUAGGAAGGAAGAGCUUUCUCCCUGCGUUGCAGUGAUUGCACAGUAAAUUUCCACAGAUUAGCGUGCAUUGAGUCGACGGCUUCUCAGAUACAGCAGUUCUGCAAUUGCUCCUACUUUUGUGGAUCUUUUAAACAAUAAAGGAGUGAAGAAAAAAGAAGUUGCACCUCUAGCGUAUAAUGGUGAAACCUCAAAAAUUGAUUAUUUUUCUUUCUUUUUUUUGAGAUCUGAUUUCUACAACUAAAACGUGUCACUGAGUCUGCAGGGAGCCCCAGGACGGAGUGACAGCGGGUGUCCCCCAGCACUGUCACUGCCGCGUUUGUCCUGCGCACAAAGAAGUGGCACCGGGUUGAGCGGGAGCGGGGCAGCAGCAAACAGAUGCCAUCUGCCAGGAGCUGACCCGGCGCCCUGCGCCUCCGAACCCUGACUCCGGUGUCAGCAGCAAAGCUCCGCUUGCAAGGGUGGAACUCAGAGCAAUUGACCUUUGGGUGACAGUUUGCAGAGUGCCAGCUCGAAUGACACUGUGGGGAGGGGUGGGGGUGUUAUUAAGGUAUAUGAUAUCACCCACAAGCAGGAAAAUAGCAAAACUUCCCCUGGGAAAAAGAAGAAAAAGCCUGUGAUUUCUCCCAGUGUUUGGCUUCUUGGCUCACGGCUUCACAGGUUCUCUGUUGGAGACAAGAGCUUAUCACCAGGGUACCUGCACUUCUCAUGAAAGGUAAAUUGGCUUUCAACUCCUCUCCAUUGCUUUAUAACCGUCCUGCUUAGAUCUGAUGGUGUGCAAAAGUUUACAAAGCAUCUUCAGUUGACCUGGAAGGCUUGCCGGCUUGGGAGUAGAGCAAAUAGCUUAGCUAGGAUAACAGAGAGGAAAUCCACUGAAUAGCUCAACUCAUUAAGAUGUUUGCAUUUGAUGAGACAGCCGCUACCAAGGGCCAGAGAAGAAGAAAGGAGGUGGUGCUGCUCACCCGAGGUGCUGUGAUGCACGUCUGCAUUGCUGCUCACCCGAGGUGCUGCGAUGCACGUCUGCAUCCACCCCCGACCCCCAGCACCCCGACCUGUGAGGCUCCAGCCUUUUCCCAGCUCACCACCUUGAUCGCUUUCUGCCCAAGAUCUGGAAAAGCUGCAACACACAGUUCAGUAGUUCCACACAUAAACAAAUACAAAACAAACUACAUCCCAUAGUAACUGCACCUGCGUUCCUCCAAAAAGCUGCAAGUAGAAGGGCUGAGACAACAAGUGUACCUCGCUGGUGCUUGUUUCGGCAAACAGCAUCAUCCUGGAAUUGUAAGGUGGAGUUUAAAACCUCUCCUCAUCCAUCUCCAUUCUUGUAGCUUUCAGCCAUGUUUUAUAAACUUUAAGGAAACUUUUUUUCCUUUUAUUGCUGGGUGAAAUGCAGCUUUCUUCCCAGGGUACCCAGCUGCCCGGAGAGCAGGGAGGACCAUUGCAGGAGGACUGAGUGCUGAGCACUGUGAACUGUGGGGCGUUAGGAAGGAGGCAAGGGCACACUGACAUGGGAGCCCUUGGUUUCCUUUUGGGUAUGGUGUCCCUUCUCACCACACACACCUUGGAAAGUGAAGCUGAGACUCCUUAGGAGCAGCUGAUGUAAAGGAGAAUUUUCUCUUUGUCAUUCAGCCUCAGGGACAAAUGCAAACCAAGGGAAGGCAGAAGGGAUGGGGACUGCAAGCAGAUUUUAAAGGCUGUUUUGCACUGAUAGCUUCUGUGGAGAGGCCAGGAGUCAGACACCUUCAGGCAACAUGUGACAAGGUGCCUUGUCCCUACCCAGUUCUCAGUUCCACUGUGGGAGGUCCCGUGAUGCCAUCGGGACUUCUGUCGCUUGCUCCAGGACACUUGACCUUCCUCCUUCUCUGUCUCCUACCACUUUGCUUUCUCACACAAGACUCCAGUUUCUGUAGAAGAACAACAGAGUAAGGUUGCCAGUGCCGAGGUGGAAGACGUUGCACUGGGGCUUAUUUUACCCAAACCAUCAGAACAUUUUGAGGACUAACACCAAAUGGCUAUAUCAGAACAAAUCCAGAUUAAGUCUGCUUUUUCUGUCCAGCUGGCUGUGGCAGCUCUGCAUGGCCAAGUGGGUAUCUGCAAGAUUAGCGGAGAACGUAUGCCCUUCCAGCGGGACAUUAAAGUCAUCCCUAAUUGGGCUCAUUAUGUGCUGACUCCCUAUGUGUCAUUUCAACAGCUCAGGGGCCCCUUAUGAGAAAAUAAUGACUUCAGAGCAAUGUACAUUACAUGCAGUUACACAGAAUUCUUCCCCAAGUCUCAUUUUCCAUUGUAGAAGUCACAACAGCACUGGAUUUCUUAUAACUAGAUAAACACUGUGACAGCAGCGAUUGUCUGCAGGAAAGAAAUCCCAGGGCACAUGAGAUUAGUCACAGGUACGGCGCUGAAGUCUCUGAAAUGCACUCGUGCACCGGGGAAGCUGUGUCCUCUGCAAUGCCGCUGCUUUCCGACGUGACCCUCUCCUGCUGCAGCACAGGUGUUGUCCCAGGGCCAUGGAGUUCCUCCUCCUGAGACAAGAAGACAUGACAUUUGCAGACAGGCAGUUGCUGGGAUUUGUUAAAAACGGUUUCAUGGGCGCUCAGAGGAUGCUGGAUUUACGCAUAUCCUCACCAUUCAUAAAUACAUGCACAAGCAUCAUUUUAUUCACACAAAUUUUGGCAAAAGGCCCAUUGAAUUCAGCAGAGAGAAGUCCAUUGACUUUGGUAGACUUUGCACAUUGUGGGUGAGAACAGAUGGAGGCUCCAUUCACCAGUCCCCUCUUGUUAUUUAAAGCUUAUUAUUGUUAAAGAGUUUUGUUAAUACAUUCACAAAUGAAGUGUGAUCCGGGCGGCGUAACCACCGCUGAGAGCUGGCGAACAGCAGACGCUCCUCAAACGAGGAUGGAGUGAACAAAAGACACACAGACCUUACAAACAGGAGUUACUGGCCCACUCAUCUCCCGACCUUCAGAUGCAGUAGAUCUACAGCCAGCGCGUUCCGCACACAAGAUAAAGACUUGUUGGGCUAAUCUAGAGGAAGCACUAACAGACAUGGGAGUAGCAAGAGGGAGGGUAAUGGUUUUUACUCCAAAGUGAGACUGCAACCAGCAAAAUAGCAUCAGUAAAGAGCAAGGAAGGUCUCCCUUGCUUCAUUAGCCCUUGGGACUGCUUCUCCAGAAACUGGUGAGCCAAACACACGUGGCACACUCAAGACAAAAACCAUUCCCUGCUGCAGUGGGCAGCCGGGGUGGGUCUGAGCCAAAGCACCCUCUGAGGCGGGUGUAAAUAAUUAGCAUUGAUCUAUGCAAAUAUUGCAAAACAUGGCAGUGUGCACAUGCGGCAAGAGGUAAUUAAUUUCAGCUCGCAAAUAUCUGAUAAAGAUGGCGUCAGCACAGCCUCAUCAAAGAGCGGCAUGUUCCUGGUUGUUAAUUAUUGGAGUGACGCAGCUGAGGAACAUCUUCUGCUGUUUCUCUGCUUCUUAAAAUGGUUCAGGGAAGAAAGUGAAUGUAUAUGAGCUAUAGAGGAACAGAGUUCCUCCAGUCCCCACUUUCUCUUUCUGCUUCAGGGCUUUUAUUCGAGACUACAGGAACAGCAUCUCUUGGGUCAGAAAGUGGACUGAAGAGCUUGUUAAGGUUUUGUUUUUGUUUUCCGUCUCACACAUAUCCUUCCACAGCUGGACUCGGUCGGUCUUGUGGUGGCUUAAUCCACGGUUAAUGAGCGCACUACCGUGGAACUGAUGUGUGUGCAGUGUCUUUCAUAUAGUAAUUGAGAGGUGCGUCUCUCAGGCAGGCUGCAACCAAGCUCAUCUUACAACAAAAGCUGUGUGUCUCGGGCCGGUUACCGACACCUCUAGUCUGUUUAGCUAUUUUUGCAUCACUUCUUCUUUAACCAUUUGUGUUGACCAUGUACGUUCCCCUCCGUGCUAACCUACGCAUCACGCAGCCCAGACACACCGCGACGCAACGUCAUGUUUCCCCAUACAGAACCACCCUGGUGCGUUGUGGAAGUCUCCCUCUCUUGCUUGUUUGACAUCUGCAUGCAUGCCCGACAGCUCUACUGAGAAAACCUUUCUUUUUCUACCCAGAAUUAACUCAUAUGCUUAAAAAAGGCCACUCCUUUGGUCUGCAAAGCCACAUGUGGCCCAAGGCUGGACACUCGCCAUCCCUGUUCUCUUCUGCACGCAGUGGAGCUACUAUAAAAACAUGGGUUCCUCCCACUCUGCCACUGGAACAAAGGCAGAGGAAAAAGCGUUUCUUCUAUACUUCAAAGAUGAUUCUUCAAAAAUAAAGCUAGCAAAACUUCUACCCCCAGCUGCAGUCCCAGCAGUGAAACCAGGCAGGAGAAGGCCAUGAAGCAUUUCGCUCCCAGAAAGCACCAGUGUGACAAGCUCAAAUACAAACAGUUCUCGAGUUGUCAGGUUUGGGUGGUUGGACUUACUAAAUAAAACUCAAAACUUUCUGCUGCAAACAGUUCCCAUAAAAAACACUCCUACAUUUGCAGGGAAAAGUGAUGCAAGCUGAACACAUCAGAUAAUCCCUGUGCAGAACUUGCCCUCCUCGCCCGCCCUGCUGCUCCUCUCCAAAAAGGAGCCGCUCCAUGCGCCCCAGUCCAGACCCGAGGACCAACUCUGUGCUGGUGCUGAGGUUUCGCAACGGUAACCCGGUGCUGAGGAGCAGCUUGGUGCUGUAGCUGGUAUCAGUUGGUGUGUGCAGAGGCUAAAAAUAGAGACCCUCCACUCUCACAAUGACUCAGAGAUGCAGAAGGGAAACCCGCAGGCUCUGUGCUUGGCUGUCCCCCGAGCUGAUUGAAAAGUUUUCAUCUAAAACGUUGUUUUGACACAAAACGGCUUUUUGAAAAACAAACUAACCAAAAAAAAUAAAAUUCAAACCUCAUCUGUUCACCACCACCAAAGCUGCUGGGAAGGCUUCUCAGUUUCUCUAAGUUUGAAUGAGGUCUUGGCCAGAAAAGUAUGCCGUUUUGUAUUUUUUUUUAUUCUAGUUGGCUAGUAUUUGCCUGCUGAGCUCUUUCUUGGAGACCUGUGAGAGCACAUGAAAUGGUGAUGCAAGUGAAAGGUGUGCAAGUCCUCUGAAACUUUCAUGGGAAAUGCAGCACACAUUGAGACGGCUCUAAUUUCAGCUCAGGGAGAAAACAGAUCCUCCAGCUGGCCUCUCUAAACCCGCACAGGGAGUGAUCCUCUAGGGCUUUAACUCUCUCUGUUCAGCCUCUGCGCCAGGGGCACCAGCCGGGUUCUGGCCGUGCCGUGGGUGGUGAUGGUCUGGAGGCUCCUGAUGGAGAAGCAGAAGAGAACUGGGAGAGGUGCAUUGUUGCUUCAGUAUCGUCUCGCCCGUGAGGAGAGCGGAACCUUCAUCUCUGGCUCUCUGUUUCUCUGCCCCUUGUUUAGAGGUAAUUUUAAGAUUGGUCAAGCAUUGGAGCAGGUGCCCAUAGGUUGUGGAGUCUCCAUCCUCUGAUAUUUUCAAAAUGACUGGACGAGGCCAGGAGUGAUCUGCUCCAGCUUUGACAUUAGGAGGUUGGACUAGGGACCUCCAGGGAUCCUUCCAGCCAGGAGGACAUGAGCAGGCACACCUACAAUACCCCAAAAUAAGACCUACCCUGAAAAUAAGCUAUAGUGUGAUUUUUCAGGAUUUUUGAGGAUGCUCAAAGCCAUAAGCCCUACUCCAAAAAUAAGCCCUAGUUGCAGUUCAUAAAAAAGUCAAUUUAAAUAGUGCCCAGGCAGCUAGAUAGAUAAAUAAGUAAGCAUCUUUUGGAGCAAAAAUUGUAUAAGACCCUGUCUUAUUUUGGGGGAAGCAGGCAGGUCUUCAAACACUGCAUUAAAUCCCUGUAGUGCCCUAGGCUUUAGGGAAGGGCUGAGCCCUAAAGGCGACCACAGCAGGAGCCCAGCUCAGUCCCCGUCUUAGCCCUCUGUGGACAGGUUGUGAUAAACAUCCAUUCUGACCCUGCAGCUGCCGGACCUCAGCACGGCCAUGGUGUCCCAACCAGGGCUGCCUGGUAGGACACACAGCUGGACCCACAGCUGGAGCGCAUUCCCUGCUCCCAUGGGAUCCCUGGCGCAUGUCUGUGCCUUUGCUCCCUGCGAUACAGAGCGAGGAGAGACAGUGGAAAUGAGAUUAACCGAUAGUGACGGGAUGCCAGUAAAUCCCAGAGACAGCUGGGAUGAGAAAGACCUCAAGAAGCCACCCCCACCUCCUUCCCUGUGAGGAUCAAGCCUACCUAAACUAACAGACCAUCUGCCCGUUACCCAGGCCUGUGACCCCGCAGGGCAGAGCCCUUCAGCAAGGGCUGCAGGUGGAGAUACCUUCUCCAGCUCCAUCCAGAGCUGAGAUCCCUCACCCACUGUGUGCUCCCAGCUGGGCUCUUCCCCAUCCAGAAACCCACCAUCACUCUACCCACCAAGGGAAGGUCAUGAAGACAGUGUGUUGCCCCUUGUCACCACGUGUGGGUUACGAGUGUCCUCAGCGUGAUGGCGGUCACUGCUCCCGCAGCCUUGGCGUGUGCUGCUGAACACCACCAGGAUCUUCAGCAAGUCCUUUGGGAACGAGAUGGCCGGUCCUUGGGUUAUCCUGGAGCUGACAUUGCCACCGGUGUCUGCCAAAUGGGGCAUGUGAAGAAGUGGUGUGUGGUUGCCCCUGCUCACAGGGUGGCUGCUGGCCUGGGACCCGUGCCGACCUUGCAGCUCACUCGUGCCACUGCCUUGCAGCCAGUGUCUGGUCAGGACAGGGUCCAUCCCAUGCUUUUAUUGGUUUCUGACUCCGAGAAAGCCAGAUGAUGAUUUCUGCUUCAAGAACAACUGAUUUUUUUCAAUCAAACCAGAUGAUUAUUUUAUAAUCAAGCCACUUCUAUUUUCCCUUUUCCCUUUUCCCUUUUAUGUUUGGGAUUAGCCAGGAGAAUUUUGUCCCAACUGAAAUGAAAUUUCUGCUUUUAUUAUAUGCCUUUGUAACACAGUCAUGUCCUUGGCUCUUGGGAGGGUCAGUUCGCUUUUAAGUGAGACUCCAGGGCUGAUGCUCAGGUGGGACAUGGGGUGUUCGGUGUGAGUCCUGCCCCCACCCGUGGACAUGUCCCACAGCAGCAGGUUAGAAGGUCUCUCUGGGUCCCUCACACCUCCCUCCGGACAACCUCUAUGGACCAACUGCCACGUGCAGAAACAAGAUGCCUGCACCUAUAGGAAGGACCAUAACCCCCAGGCUCACAAGACAUUCUCACUCUCCAUGGACCAAUCAAUAUUUCUUUAUCCUUCAUGAAGCAGACACAAAAUCCCCCACCCCCUGGCUCUGCACCCCCACAGCAGCACAAAGGCACUUCACAGCUCCGGGCCUGUGGGAGUCCAGCCCUGAACAUCUUAUUCAGACCAAAAAGUCAUGUCCAGCUUCCUAUGACCAUCACUGGCAUUUCCACAAAUGGCAUAUUCACUGCGAGCAAAGUCACCCUCUGUUAAUAAUGAUACUUGAGUUGGUGGAAAACACUGGGAGUUUUUCCCCCAUGAGAUGAAACAGUAUUUUGUUUUGAUCUGAAUCAUGAUUUUCUUUUCGUUUUAGUCUGCAAAAUUUUGGAAUUGAUGUCUUUUUUCUUUUCCCCUCCCAACUUUUAAUCUCUUUCCUCUGAAGCUGCCAGCCCCCAGGGUGCCCUGGUGAGCUUUCUGAAACUCAUCGAUAUGAGGCGGGAUUUGGAUCCCCAUGAAACUGCCAGUUGCAUUUUAGAUGUAGAUUUUGCUGUGUUUCAAAUAACCAGAAUAGAUGUGUGAAAGUCUGCUCUGAAAUAGGGCACUGGGACAAAGAGAGAAGCGUAGUGGGCCCAAAAUGCUCGUGAUGAAUAGCAGCACAGAAAUGUCACUGCUCCUACACACCAGCCCAUCGUUAAAUGCUUCCACUUUCUUUAGUGAAAUGACAAAAAAACUAGUUGAUGCUUUCAACACAGCACAAAAAAUAUCUAUCCACAUCUGCCUUAAAGUGUCAGGUUCAUGCAGGAAGCAGAAGCGCUCCUGCGAGAUUAACAUCUCUGUCUAGAACAUAUCUGUGAAAGGUGGGAACACAAUACUAGCACAGUACAAUGUUCCUGCUGCAUCUCUGUGUGUUUCAUUAAUGAUAACGUGGUUAAAAUGAAAUUAUAUGCUCUUUAGUUCACUCUUCAUCAUAACUAAUUCAAAGGAGUUUCUGGGCACUUGCUCAGAGAUUUAUUCUUCGUGGACCUUAAAAUAACACUUCCAACUCAGUCCUUUAAGACCUCAGCAGAGCUCUGCUGGAGGAAGGCUGAUGCUCUGCCCAUUGUUAGUACUCGAUGGAUAUAAUUCUGCCGCCACUGUUUGUCUAAAUUCCCAUGGAAAAUGGUGAUUCGUGGCUCUGAGCGGUGCACAGCGUGAAAGCGCCAAGAAGCAAAAAUUCUCCUUAUUUUCAGUAGGAUCUGAUCCACAUUUCCUGACUGCAGGAAUAGGGAACAAAGAUGCUGCUGAAAAGCACACAUACACAUUCACACACCACUUGACAUUCUUUAUUGAGAAGAAAAAAACACCAUAAUUUGAGGUGGUAACAUCUGAUGGGUAGUUCUGAAGCCCCUUCCGUGCUUGGCUGCCCUAUGAGUCCGCUGAGCCUACAAUGCCAGGAAAGUUUAAUCUGGGGAGCCUUUGAGUGCUGCUCAUCCAGCACCAAAGCAGCUGUGCUCAUCCCUCUCUUCUGCUCUUUCCAUCCCGAUGCCACAACCAGAGAGGAAAUGUGGUUGCAUCAGCAUGGAGGAGCUGAGAUGAUGCAGCUUGUGGCCAUGCAAGCAGGACUGAGCUGGCCGAGCAACAGUGGUGUUUGGCAACGGUCACACUCUGGCACAGAGUGUCAGUAGCUCUGCCAUUUCCAAGACCUGCGCUUCCAUCCAUAGGCGACUCCUAUAUUUAGCUGUGCUGGUGGCAAAGGCCCGGCCUCCAGGAUGUUGAUUCAGACACCCAGACACUCACCCACUUCCUGUUUGGAUGCACUAGAAUUAUUUGCAUCAUUUAAAAAGUGAUGUUGGUUAAGGGAAACAAAGCGUUAUUGUCAGAGGAGGCUGAGGGCCACGUUAUGUACCCAUGCACAAUGGAAAAAAGAAAGCAGAACGACUUGUCUCCAUCUCCCAACAGCGACACACACACACAGCAUGUCCCCAGGAGCCACUUUCACCAAUUCUUUCCCACCGUUAGCAUUUGUAUUGUGGUAAAGCACUGUGAUCCCCUGCUCAGUCUCCUCCCAACAUCAUCUCUAGCAACAGAUCAGUAGCAAAGACAUACCCAGGGGUUGUGGUCUGCUGGCUGGAACAGGCAAUAGGCAGAAACACAGACUCUAGCGCCUGCCCUUGCUCUGCCGCCCAGGCAGUUGUGGCUGAUGACAAGUUUUCCAUAGCAAAAUGCAGCUUUGCGCUGUCACACAGUCUUCACAACCCCGGUGGGCAUAAACGUGGCAUCUCAGAUGUUCAUGAACUUCUGGAUACUGGAGGUCCAGGAGCGUGGAUCUCUACCCUGAAGGCUUUGUAUGAUCAAUUCAGCCUUUCUUCUCUUUGUUUUGAAGCCUUACUAAUGUCUAGGAAGGUGGAUGACUCAAUAGAUUUUUCCCCAGGAGUCUGGACAAGCAAUCUCUUGGAAAGGGCUGUUUAUGACUUAGCUGCAGAUGCAUUUACCUAUCCUGCCUUCUUUUUAGCAGAGAUGCAGCUAGCCAUGUGGACCAGGAGCUUCAAAAGUGACUAGAUAUCUCAGUGCCUUGACAGCAAUCUGGGCACCUAAAGAUGAAUGCAACUGUGUUCCACUGUCCCUCUGAAAAGUCUUUGCCAAAGUGCAUUUUCCAAGCCCAAAUGAGAUGAGCGCAUUGUUUAAACUAAGGAGUAAAAGGCAAAUUACAAAUAACAAAUCACAAGACGUGAGUUCUGAGUCACCCUCAGUCAGUGACAGAGGUGCUGCAAUCAGAAUUUAGGUCAUUUAGUCACAACUGCAUUGCUAUUGUAUGUGCAGGAAUGUAAUCUGGUAGCUGUGUUGAGUCAGCAAGGCAAAUAGGAGUCAAAAAGAGUUAAAGACUUAUUUUUGUCACUGCGUUUAGCAACUGUUUCUGAAUAUCUGUUCGCCGCAACUCAAAUACCUUAAUGGGAACCAAAGUGCCUGUGCAUGCCAAUAAUUUCUUGUUCCUUGCAGCGGGAGGCAAUGGUUCAACUUCGUGUCACCGCCGACGGAACGGGGCAGCACAGCUGCCGUGGGUGCAGGAUGGAGCGGUGGGUUACGUGUUUCCCAGGACACGGGCCGUGGGUUUCUAACACAGCCAGAUUCUGGGAGGGGACACCACAGGACCACCUGUCUUCACAGCCAGCACGGGGGAAAACCAGAAUGGCGUUUUCAGCAUUGGUGUAAACGCACCGCAGUGUGCAGGGUACAAGAGAGGGAAGUUCCUUUGUAUUAAGCGCUCUGGAAAUGGCCUUUCAAGGGGUGCCCCACCACCACCUGCCCCCACUGAUGCAACCGGGCAGAGCUGGGAUCUCCAGUGCCACUUGUGCCAUGUGGCAAAAAUGGCUUUGCUGACCCUAAUGCUUCAGAGCUUACGGCUCCUGAUCCAGGUAGUCCCAGGACAGCCAUCCGGCUCGGCUUCCUCGCAGCAAAAUGAAGUUAGAAAUGUGACUUGGGAGCUCAGAGAACAAAUUGUGCUCCAGUGCUCCCUCCGCAACCAGCGCUGAGCGGGGUGCGCGUGUGCCCCUUCCGUCUCCUGAAAGCACUGGCUCCGCUUCCUCUCUUGCUUCUUGGGAAGCAGAAAGUCACACACUGACCUAUGAGCAAGUGCUGCGUGAGGGUUGAGCAAGAGGCGCUGGAGGCGUCUGUCUGGGAGCCAGCAGGUAAGUCAAGAAUUCCCCCAGCACAUGCCUCACGCCUCGGAGCGGAGCAAGUCGCGGUGUUGCAACACCUCCCGCCAGCUCAGAAGAUGCACUAAAGAAGUUCACAGGAUGGAAGCACUUCUAGGCCUGUUGCAUAAUCCAGAUAAGGAGAUAAGCCUGUAAUAUUUGCACAACACUGUGUCCCUUCCUUGGCCUUGUUACUGGUCUCGUUUUGCAGGGCUUAAUUCAGGGGAUCUGGUGGAUUGAGGACACCUUUCAGGUCAUCUGUUCCUUGGGAGGGGGCUGUGUCCCAGCUCUAGUGUUUUGCUACUGGAAUAAUUAGAGACACGGGCACACUUGGCUUACUUUGUGCUUUGCAAAUCUGUCCCGAAGACAUAUUGGAAAUGGCACUGUGACACCUGUGGAAAAUACUUGGGCAGCUUCUUAUGGAAGGACUGUGGCGGUUCAGAUGAAACUCAUUUUCUGCACAUGGGAUCUCUAACAAUUCCUACAGGAAAACCAAGAAAUGUCAGACAUGACCUUCCUGGCAAAUCAAAUGUGAAAAACAAGGAAGCCGCACUAGGAAGGCUUUUUAAGGAAGCAAAAAAGGGCACAGCCCACUUAUUUUUCCUCCACAGAUCCUCUCUGAGGUCAUCGCACUAUUGUAAACUGCACCUCAGUUUGUCCGAUAACAGGGUUUAGUGCUGGUGCUCUGCAGCACUAGUCUGUGCUGGUCUAAGUUUAUCCAGAGGAGGAGCAGAGCCUUGGAGAAAGGGUGACAAACCCAUGGUCAGACCUGGCCGGGAUCUGAGAAUUCAAUCACAGCUUCCUGGUCCCAGCCUUGUCCAGACCCAAAAGUCGGAGUGUCCCUGGAAAACCCUGCGGGGUGGAUGUGGGAAAAAGCCCAACUCUGUGCUCAAAGGAGCCAGAGGUCUGUUAUUGCUCUCCUUUAUGAGAAUCCAAUUUCCAACCAACAAACACAGAGGGGUGCAAAAUUAUGUGUCCUGGUAACUGCUCACAUUGUUUUCCAUCUUGGUUACAUUCCUUUUCAAAGCUCCUCCAGUGUGUCAACGUGGUUUAUGGUUUAAAGCUUUUUCCUGUCUGUUAAUCCAAGUUUUAGGAGUCCCCUCCCGGUGGGAAAAGCCAGGAGGGGCUGAAUCACCCAAGCAAACCGCAAAACACGGAGCAAAACACAAAACACAGAGUAAACCACAAAACACAGUCAAGGAGGAUGGGCAUGGAGGUCACCUAGUAAGUGCCAGAGUCUCCAAGACUGAUGUUUGCAUCUCAGGGGUUACAUGAAGUGCUAUGGUCACAGGAGAGCACAGGGCUUGAGGUGGGACUCGGGGUCAGAGAGGUGAGCUGCCUCUGUAAGAGCAGGGUGUGAACUAAACUUCAGGCUGUACGACACAGUGAUCAGAAAAUAUACAGCUCUUGUUGGUACCAAGAGAUCCCAUGGCAAGGCAGCUCUCAGGGACCGCUUGGCUCGGAGCAUCAGCAGCGCUGCUGGCGCUGCUACAUCUGCUGGCCUUGCCCUUUCCCCUACUUCAAGCAUCGCAUAUAGCUCAGAAGAUUAAACAAACACAUAAUAAAGGGAAGAUUUUGGUCACAGGGAGAGGCCUGUGGGGGAACAGCUGGUACCAAAUAUUUUUCCGUGCCCGGUGCGUCACUGCAAGUGGGGGCAGGUGCGCUUAGAAAAACAGAGCCCGUGUUUGCACACUCUUAAAACCGUUAUUGAGCUGUGUUUGGGACCCAGCAGGAAACUGAAACUCCUUUUUAUGAUGUGGAGGCUACUGAUGUGUAAGUAAAUCACAUUUUAUCUAGUUAAUAAUAUCAGAGCCUGGCCAGGGACUCCAGGCAAGUCUGGAUUAAACAACCCAAACUGCAAUAUCCAUAUAGCACAGAACAGCCCAUAGACAACUGCCCAACACCAGCCAUGUGCUAGCAGAACAGAGCCAGUGCGCACAACUACCUUCUAGCUUACAUAUGCAUGUGCAUAGUUUUAUUACAGGAAGCCAUGGCCAGUUGAAACUGACCACAAAUGAUUUAAUCUCUAUGCCCACAGGGUCUUGGUCAGUGCCUCUAACCUGGGCACGCACAGGAAAACGCCUCCACUACAAAAUCGUUUGCAAUUUACACUCCCUUGAGCUGCUAGAAGAUGUGGCUGUGACUUACAGCUGCACAGAUCCAGUCCAGCACUAGAAAGACAGAGCUGACACUGUAAGUCUUGGUUAAAGGCCAUACUGCCUUGUGCCUGUGUGCAAAGGUUUCAGUGGCUUACAAAGCCAUUUGGUAUUAGUUGUAUCUCUACUCACCCCUGGUACACCCUACUUCCAUGCAGGGAAGAAUUUGCUGCCCCUGAGGGUGGUGAGACCCUGGGGCAGCUCAGGAUGCCCCACAUAGAAGAGCAGAGAGCGGCUGAGAGUUGAAGACCAACCACCAUCCAUCCUUGGAGACUGCAGGGCUGGCACGUAUGUCAGGGGGGCUUCGAUCUUCCUUUUUCCUCAGGAGUGGAGACACAGGACUCCUAAGCCCAGAAGAAGCUGGUAGGUGGCCAUGGCUGGUGUUGCCAAGCUAGCAAAGGGGAUACGGAAGCCAAGUGCCCCUUGGAACCCAGUCUGGCACAGCGCUCUCGUAGCACAGCCAUGGCAUGGCCAGCCUUGUUCCCACCUGGGCCACCACAGGGACCGUGUCUGUGACCUCAGGAUCUCCCUGCCAUCGAUAGCUGCUGCUCAUGAAGCCACCGGAGGCCUGAGGAGCUCCCACACGUACAGAGACGGAGCUGCCAGAGCUGGCCCAGCAGGCCAGCCCAGGUUGCAAAUCCUCAGCUGACAGGACAAGCCCUGAGCAGAAGGGACAGGAUUCCCGGGCAGAGCCUCUGGCACCUCCAUGAGCUGUUCUCAGAUGGAUUAUGUUUGCAACUCAGCCAGCAGCGACUCCCGAAACAGCCGCCGUGCAGCCAAGGAACCAUCCCCUGCUCCACUCCCACCAUGUGCAGUGUCCGGAGGGGCUGCCAGGGGCAGGAGGGUCCCACGCCAACCUCUGCUCCCCAGGCCACAGCCCCUGUGUAGGGUCUCACAGGUACAGUGCUCCUCCCCUACCAAAGGGCUUUGCUCUUUGCCUCAUGCCAGAUGCUCACACAGCUCUUUGCAAGCAGAAUCAGCACAAUCUUUCUAUUUUCUUUUUUAAAAAAGAUUUUCCUUUUCCACUUGGAAGUUCUCCUGCUCCCACAGAGCUCAGAGAAAUGGGUCUUGUUCUUAUCCGCAGGCAUGAGCUGAUAGCAGAUGAACUCUGGCAGCUCUUCCAGGAGGGUGUGUGCAAGGUGAUUUCAGCCAUAAAGCCAUUGUGGGUGGGGUGUGAUUAUUUUUUCUUACCCUCCUCAUUCUGCAUUUAGAUAGUUGCACUGAUUUGCAAAUUCCCCAUGCCCCCAUGACUUUACAUCUCCUGAUGGAGGUACAGCCAUAAAUGUGACUGCAGGAGGGGUGUCCUCUGCAGGGUGGGACCAGUGACUCGCUCUGACCCCCGGCAGGCAGCCCAGGGUGAUAACGCAAUUUUUCUGAGCCUGAUCCUGUGAUGUGAUGGGGGGACAAGGGCUGGCAACCCACCGUCCCGGAGAGGUGGGGGAUCCCUGCUGGAGUGCAGGGCAAGCCGUGGAUUUCACGGUGCUGUCAGUGAGCAGAGCGGGACAAUGCAAGGGGAGAGAAAGAAGCUGCUAAACAGCCCUUUUGGUGAGAGGGAGUUAAAGGACGGUCUGUGCUGAGCUGCAGGAGGGACACGGGGCUGUUUUCAGCAGAGCUGAAGUUAGAGCAGGGCUGUGGUGCCCGGACACCCCCUCUCCUCUGCCAGGAGGAU